GCAACGAGCGCAACCCUUGCCUUUAGUUGUCCAGCAGUUCGGCUGGGCACUCUAAAGGGACUGCCGGUGUUAAACCGGAGGAAGGUGGGGAUGACGUCAAGUCCUCAUGGCCUUUAUGACCAGGGCUACACACGUACUACAAUGGCCGAUACAAAGGGCAGCGACACUGCGAGGUGAAGCCAAUCCCGUAAAAUCGGUCUCAGUCCGGAUUGGAGUCUGCAACUCGACUCCAUGAAGUUGGAAUCGCUAGUAAUCGUGGAUCAGCAUGCCACGGUGAAUACGUUCCCGGGCCUU
rnacentral:rRNA from 1 species